CCUACGGGUGGCAGCAGUAGGGAAUAUUGCUCAAUGGGGGAAACCCUGAAGCAGCAACGCCGCGUGGAGGAUGAAGGUUUUCGGAUUGUAAACUCCUUUUGUUAGAGAAGAUAAUGACGGUAUCUAACGAAUAAGCACCGGCUAACUCCGUGCCAGCAGCCGCGGUAAUACGGAGGGUGCAAGCGUUACCCGGAAUCACUGGGCGUAAAGAGCGCGUAGGCGGGAUAGCAAGUCAGGUGUGAAAUCCUAGGGCUUAACCAUAGAACUGCAUUUGAAACUGUUAGUCUAGAGUAUGGGAGAGGUAGGUGGAAUUCUUGGUGUAGGGGUAAAAUCCGUAGAGAUCAAGAGGAAUACUCAUUGCGAAGGCGACCUGCUAGAACAUAACUGACGCUGAUGCGCGAAAGCGUGGGGAGCAAACAGGAUUAGAUACCCGGGUAGUC
rnacentral:rRNA from 1 species